AGUGAACGCUGGCGAUAGGCCUAACACAUGCAAGUCGAACGGCAGCACAGUAAGAGCUUGCUCUUACGGGUGGCGAGUGGCGGACGGGUGAGGAAUACAUCGGACUCUACUUUUUCGUGGGGGAUAACGUAGGGAAACUUACGCUAAUACCGCAUACGACCUACGGGUGAAAGCAGGGGAUCUUCGGACCUUGCGCGAUUGAAUGAGCCGAUGUCGGAUUAGCUAGUUGGCGGGGUAAAGGCCCACCAAGGCGACGAUCCGUAGCUGGUCUGAGAGGAUGAUCAGCCACACUGGAAAUGAGACACGGUCCAGACUCCUACGGGAGGCAGCAGUGGGGAAGAUUGAACAAUGGGCGCAAGCCUGAUCCAGCCAUACCGCGUGGGUGAAGAAGGCCUUCGGGUUGUAAAGCUCUGUUGUUGGGAAAGAAAAGCAGCAGGUUAAUACCCCGCUGUUCUGACGGUACCAAAAGAAUAAGCACCGGCUAACUUCGUG
rnacentral:rRNA from 1 species